AGUACGGUCGCAAGACCGAAACUCAAAGGAAUUGACGGGGGCCCGCACAAGCAGCGGAGCAUGUGGCUUAAUUCGACGCAACGCGAAGAACCUUACCAAGGCUUGACAUACACCGGAAAGCAUUAGAGAUAGUGCCCCCCUUGUGGUCGGUGUACAGGUGGUGCAUG
rnacentral:rRNA from 1 species